rnacentral:rRNA from 1 species
GGGUGCAAUUAUACCAGGACUAAUGCACCGGAUCCCAUCAAAAUUCUAGAGUUAAGCGUGCUUGGGCGAGAGUAGUACUAGGAUAGGUGACCUCAUGGGAAAUCCUUGUAUCUAACUGCAUUUC